rnacentral:rRNA from 1 species
UACGAGUGGCCCAAGCGUUAUCCGGAAUUAUUGGGCGUAAAGGGUGUGUAGGUGGUCGUAUUAGUCCGGUGUCUAACCUCUGAGCUUAACUUGGAGACAGCAUUGGAAACGGUACGGCUAGAGUAUGUUAGGGGUAAGCGGAACUCAUAGUGUAGGGGUGAAAUCCGUUGAUAUUAUGGGGAACACCAAAAGCGAAGGCAGCUUACUGGAACAUUACUGACACUGAGACAUGAAAGCGUGGGGAGCGAACAGG